CUUCUGGAAACGGAAAUUAAUACCCUAUACGCCCUCCGGGGGAAAGAUUUAUCGGUGAAAGAUCGGCCCGCGUUAGAUUAGAUAGUUGGUGGGGUAACGGCCUACCAAGUCUACGAUCUAUAGCUGGUCUGAGAGGAUGAUCAGCCACACUGGGACUGAGACACGGCCCAGACUCCUACGGGAGGCUGCAGUGGGGAAUCUUGCACAAUGGGCGCAAGCCUGAUGCAGCCAUGCCGCGUGAAUGAUGAAGGCCUUAGGGUUGUAAAAUUCUUUCGCUAGGGACGAUAAUGACGGUACCUAGUAAAGAAGCCCCGGCUAACUUCGUGCCAGCAGCCGCGGUAAUACGAAGGGGGCUAGCGUUGUUCGGAAUUACUGGGCGUAAAGCGCGCGUAGGCGGACCACCAAGUUGGAUGUGAAAUCCCAGGGCUCAACUCUGGAACUGCAUUCAAAACUGUUGGUCUAGAGGCUAGGAGAGGUCAGUGGAAUACCGAGUGUAGAGGUGAAAUUCGUAGAUAUUCGGUGGAACACCAGUGGCGAAGGCGACUGA
rnacentral:rRNA from 1 species